rnacentral:lncRNA from 1 species
CCAUGCGAAAAAUUUGUUAAAUUAACCCAUGGCGUGAAAUUGAAUAAUUUUAUUUUUUCUAACACUAUGCAUUCUGGUAAGUAUUAAGAUAGAAUACAUUUAUCUUAUCCACUAUGACUGGUAUAAUAAAUAGAGAACCUAAUUGACCAAUCCAGACCUAUAUUUACAAGUUCCAAUUUUUCAAAUCCGGCCCAACAGACAGUAAUUUAUAGUGAUGUUUCUCAAAAGGAAUAAGAGGAAAAGUCGGUGGUAUCUCUCGAAAUGCAUGGAUAGAACUUUUAAUUUUCAAAAACCAUCUAUUCAAGCCAGAAUAUAGUCAUUUUUACAAAAUCAAAUAUAUUUAGGUGUUCAAAUUAGCUAUGGUGUAUAGUCGAUGUCUAAAUAGUGUAUAUUUGAUCUGAAAAAAAUAACUUGCAAACCUCUUCAGUGAACGAGUUUAGAACGUUAGGGCUAUAAUUUAUGGGACUUUAGGUGGCCAUUUUGGAAU